UACUGAGUUAUUAAAACUCCAAACCCUUUGUGAACCUUACUGUCGUUGCCUCGGCGUGAGCUACGGCUACCCUGUAGUUACCCUAUAGCUACCCUGCAGCUACCCUAUAGUUGACCAGUGGCUACCCUGUAGUUACCCUAUAGCUACCCUGCAGCUACCCUAUAGUUGACCAGUAGCUACCCUGUAGCCGGCUUAUGGCCCGCCGAAGGACCGCUAAACUCUUGUUUUUUACCACUGUUUCUCUGAAUUGUAAACUUAAAUAAGUUAAAACUUUCAACAACGGAUCUCUUGGUUCUGGCAUCGAUGAAGAACGCAGCGAAAUGCGAUAAGUAAUGUGAAUUGCAGAAUUCAGUGAAUCAUCGAAUCUUUGAACGCACAUUGCGCCCAUUAGUAUUCUAGUGGGCAUGCCUAUUCGAGCGUCAUUUCGACCCUUAAGCCCCUGUUGCUUAGCGUUGGGAAUCUACAGCGUAGUUCCUUAAAGUUAGUGGCGGAGUUAGGGUACACUCUCAGCGUAGUAAUCUUUCUCGCUCGUGUGGUGGCCCUGGCUGCUAGCCGUUAAACCCCUAUAUUUUCUAGUGGUUGACCUCGGAUUAGGUAGGAAUACCCGCUGAACUUAAGCAUAUCAAUA
rnacentral:misc_RNA from 1 species